rnacentral:misc_RNA from 1 species
AACCGAAGAAUUCGUUGGCGAACCUUCCAAGCGAUCUGGGCAAGUGGGGGACACGCAAGCGAAGAGGUGCACCUCUCUCUUUCCACUUCCGUCUCUCAGCAUACACACACACACACACACACACACGCACUGCAACGUCUUGACACUCCUGUCGUAGCAAUGACAGAGCACGAGAACACGCCACGACUGGAGCUCGAAGCCGCUCUCGGCUACAGCGGCAACCUGCCCGGCAGCCUGGUCGCUCACCCAGAUCAGCAGCAUCUGCUGUAUGCCCUUGGCGCCUGCAUUGUGAUUCGUGACACCAACGACGCGGAAAGCUCCGAGUUUUUCUACGGCCACAAUGACAAGAUCAGCUGUCUCACCGUGAGCGUGUCGGGUCGCUACGUGGCGUCGGGGCAGGUGACCCACCCUGGGUUUCAGGCGGACGUCUGCAUCUUCGACUUUGCGGAGCGCCGCCUCAUCCACCGCAUGCUGCUGCACAAAGUGAAGGUGCAGGCGCUCGCGUUCUCGCUGGAUGAGCAGUAUCUGGCCUCCGUCGGAGGGCCCGACGACAACACGGUUGUCCUGUGGGACGUCAAGACAGGGCGUCCGCUCUGCGGCGCGCCUGCACACCACACCGAAACGAAGGCCGUCGCCUUCUUCAACAACAACUCUGAGAAGCUCAUCACCGGCGGUGUUGGCUCCCUGCGUGUCUGGACGGUCGAUCUCGAGCAGCGGAAGAUGAACCCAGUAGACAUUAACAUGGGCAACAUGCGCCGCAGCGUGCAGACGAUCUCGAUCGAGAAGACGGACAAGUACGUCUACUGCGGCACCACCUCCGGAGACGUCAUCUGCGCGCAGCUGCAGCAGGCCAACGUCUUCAAGAUGCAGGGGCCGCAGAAGAAGCUCUCUGGCGGCAUUCUGUCCACAAUCCUCACCCAUACAGGCGACGUGCUGGUCGGCAGCGGUGCUGGAGAGCUGCAGCUGCUCUCGAAGAUCAACCUAACGGUGCAGAAUAGCACCACCGUCAACGGCGGCGUGACGGCGCUGGCCGUCAUGGGGGAUAACUACUACGUCGGCACGAAGACGAGCAACUUGUAUUUUGUGAACGGCGGCAACUUCAUGACACGACUGCGCCUCACGUGCCACAGCGAGGCGGUGCAGGACGUCGUCUUCCCCCAUGGCUUCAGUUCUGUGUUUGCCACGUGCUGCGAUACGGAUAUCCGCGUCUGGAAUGCGAACUCGUGCACAGAGCUGCUGCGGAUCGAGGUUUCGAACCGAACGUGCAACUGCCUGCAGUUUAGCCGCGACGGCUCGCUCAUCAUCUCCGGCUGGAGCGACGGUCGCAUCCGCGCCUUUGGCCCGCAGUCUGGAAAGCUCGUGUUUUCCGUCGCCGACGCGCACAAGGUGGAGCAGGGGAGCCGUAGCCACAAGGUUGGCGGCAAGGUCGGUGUGACGUCGGUGUGCGCCGACAACACCGGCCACCGCAUCAUCACCGGCGGCUCCGACGGCCUCGUACGUGUCUGGGCUAUCCGCGGGGCCACCUGCACGCUAGAGGCUUCGAUGAAGGAGCACAAGGCUGCUGUGAACGCCAUUGUCAUCUCGCACGAUGAUACCGAGUGCGUGACAGCCAGCGACGACGGCAGCUGCAUCGUGUGGGACCUGACUCGCUACCUCCGGCGCAACAUCAUGUACCGUCAGACCUACUUUCGCGCGUUGGAGUACUACGUUGAUGAUAGCCAGCUGAUCACGUGCGGCAGUGACAAGUGCAUUGUCUACUGGGACUCCGUUGACUGCCACGCCAUUCGCGAGGUGUGCGGCAGCCGCACCGCCGAGUUGAACUCACUAUCUUUAUCACCUGAUGGACGGUUCUUUGUGACGGGCGGCAAUGAUCGCAUUGUGAAGGUGUGGGACUACGAUCGCGGUGAGUGCAUCGCGGUGGGUCUUGCGCACAGCUGCAGCAUCACCAAGGUGCGCGUAUCGCCGGACGGCAAGAAGAUUGUGUCCGUUGGCGAUGAGGGUGCCGUCAUGGUUUGGAACGUCGGCGAGCUUGCGAUUGAGGGCCUCUAAGCUUGUUCUUAUCAGGUAUCUAUAUCGGUAGAACGUCCAGUGGUGCACACUAUUGUCAUGGAGGGCGGCUCAUGAGCGUGGUCGGCCAAUCUCAACGCAAAGCCGCGACAACGAGCGAAAGCGAGAGGUCGUUUUUUAGUCUCGUCCGGGCUUGCUUUCAUGCUCUUGCCUUUGGUACUCCUAAGUGCUGGUUGAGGGAUUGCCGUAUGUGGCGGAAAAUAUAAAACCCGCGUUGUCGUGCGUCUUGUCUGUUCGAAAGGCCCUCGCCGUCUCAUACUCCCCUCCUCCCUCCCUUGCUCCGCUCGAAGAAGAACAAAAUCGGACUGGCUCCUCCUUCAUUUGUACGCGCAUUGGUAAUGCACGUAGUAUUCCGUGGGCUGCGGCGGGUGGUCCCUGAGCCCCCCCUCCCCCUCCUCUCAGCCUCACCACCACCUGUUUCAACGUGGACGGACGCCCCCACGGCCCCUUAGACUCUUUGGUUUUGUACGGUUGUUGUCGUGUGCUGCUACUGGUUUCUCGUGUGCCUAUGUGUACGUGUGCGUGCAUGUGCUUUUGUAUGUGCACGUGUGUGUAUGCGCCCUGACUUGGUCUAUCCUUCUCCACGUCGCGUGCGCGCUGUCUCCGUGUGCGGUGUGUUGCCGUGUUCUCGUCACGCGCGCUAUUCAGCAGGGUGGUGAUGGCGGUGAUGGUCCUCCUCCGCUGCCUCCGUCAUCCAUCUCCCCUCCCCUUCCCCCAAUGGGUCGUGUUCGCGGUGCGUGCGGGUUUGUGUGCGCGUCUCUGGCUUGCUUUCUCCUUCUUUGUUUUCUCUGUUGGCUACCUGCGCCAUGCACAGGCGGAGGAGGGAACGGGCGGACGCAGGACCACCGUCGAAGAUAGAGGAAGAGUCGCCGCGUUUUCGGUAAUGCGUGCCGCUUGUUGGCAGCUGUGACCGAAAGUGAUGACGCAAGAUCAAGUAGAGUCUAUGCAAUGCAAGAGCCCAGAUUUGCAUCUGUCUGUUUGUGCGCUGGGCCUGGAGAGAAGGAGCACGGCGAAGGGCAUGGACGCCAGUGGCACCGUUGCUUCACUUGAGGUGGGUGAAGCGGUCUAGAGAGAUGGAAAGACAUCGUGCCGGCUGUGCCGUCUAUCUUGUCCUGCAACGCUCCGCAUUCGUGUUGCCUCUCUCCAAUCUCCUUGAAUUUUUCUUUUUGAUCGUCUUGUGCCUUCCCGACGCAUCCUUUGCAUUCCACCUUGGCUGUUUUCGUCUUCUGUUUUUGUUUGACGCGCGUGACCUUCUUUGCACGCCUGUGCGGGUGUGCCGGGCCUCCUCUGCCCUCCCUCCCCCCUUCGCCCUCCCCUCUUUGGGUUUCCUUUCGCGUCACUCUCCCACCUCUUCUGUCUUUGUCUUCUCCUCUACCGCUUGGUGUGUGUGUGUGAUGUCUGUCCCUUCUUUUUCGCUGAUGUAUGGUAGGACGAUCAUGAAGACGAUGACGAUGUUUUGGCCCUUCAAGAUGAUGUAGCCUCGGAUCUUCAUCCUCUUUCUUCUUUUUCCUUUCUCUCUCCUUUCACUCUGCGGCUGUGACACCUUUAGCGCCCAACAACGAAACAGACAGCCCCUGAACAGACACACAGGCACGUCUGCGAGGACGCCAUCGUGUAGGAUGAGGAGGAUAGAGAGAUUAACGCUCCCCAACGAGCACAAUGAACACGCGGACGUGCGGAAAGGACAUGCCACAGUAUUCUGCGCGGCUUCACUGUGGGAUUCGCGCGUACCCACCACACCUCUGUGAGGGAUGUGCAUGCGCACGGACAUGGGAGGACGGCAGCCAGGACAAGAGAACGAACGCGUUACUGCAUGCCGCUUGACACAGUCGUCUGGAAGCGUACACACGCUGCGUAGAGAGAGAAUAUCUGUGGGUAUGCCGCCUUUUCCGUGUGGGUCUAUGGAUAUGCGUUUUAGACCUCCUCCGCUCUCUCUGGAAAUGCGUGCCGCUCCUCCACGACUCCUAUGCGCUCACUUCAUCACGCCUUCUCUACCGCUCGUUUUGACCUCUCCCCCUCCCCCUUCGUUUGUGUGCUCCGGACACCACGGUCGAUGCUCGUGCGGGUGAUUCAUAACGCGUUUCUCUGCUGUUAUUCAUGUCCCGGCGUGCUCUUUUCCAACCACUGCGACACGCCCGCACAUGCGCACUCGUCACACCGACACCCCCAAUGCACGGAUCGUCUCGCAG